UUGAUCCAAAGCUUAAGGGAGAGUGCCCUCCUAAAGGAGUCUGGGUUGAUUUCAUAUGCAUGGAUUUUCUGCUUCCGGUUGGAGAUUUCAAUGUUUAAGAUCAAUGAAUGAAGGGAUUAGAUUGGAAUCAUCAGAUGGUAGGAUCAUUAAGCGGUACUUGCGGUUGUCCUGUCUGUGCUUUUAUCUCCUUUGCACCCCAAAGUCAGUUAUCGUAUUCUAAUGGGAAAAAAUCGCUUGUUAAAUUCAGUCCACGUACAGUUAGAUUUACUGCUUUCUUUCUUGCUCUCCAGUAGAUUGUUUUGUUCAUUUUGGGAUUGGUGUUGCAGAAUUUAUGAGCGUUCAGUGUAUAGUCUUGCUUUCAGAACCAGGAUUAACGGUACAAGCGCGAAGCAGAUCAAAGUUAUAUAUAGUUGGGAUGGUUCGGGGUUAAUCUAGAGUCACUGUCCAUUGUCCAGCGGCUUCAUACCAGAGUAUGAAAAAUGCCCAAGUGGGCAUUGAAUUGGAUUCAUUUUCAUGUACGACCAAAAUAGCAGUCGCAUAAUGGACGUAAAAGGCCACGUCACCACCGAAGGAGAGGCUGUAGUAUGGGCAGUGGAGAUGUCUCUAACAAAAUUCUACAUAGACAAGACAGUGCAUGAGUUUACGCAAGAAAGGAAAAUGGCAAUGCAUACAUGGAUACCUUGCCCUGUUGUUGCAGUUAUAGUAGACAAAUCAAAUGUACGUCCUCCAGAUAAUUCUAAUUCUUCCACUAUCAUGUGUUUAACAGAAGGUGGUCCUACUAAGUUACUACUAGGAAAUGAAGAAAAAAAUAAAAAAGAGAAGGGGCAAGCUACAUUACAAACACAAGUAAAAGACACUUCAAUAUAGAAGAACACAAAACCCCCCACACAGAGACAUAUGGAGAGAGGAUGUGUAAAAUUAAACGAUACAAUGCAAUCAUCACUAGCAAGCAACAUCGGAAUUGAAAAUUAAAGAAACACCAUGCCAACUAUGAGAACAAAACUUAGAUUGUACAUCAUCCUUCAAAGGAGCAGAUUUCCAUGGAGAUUUGGAACCACAACCUUGUCAUGAGAUGAGUUCUAACGAAUUGCGCUAAGCAGUUGUUGGGUA